GGCAAAGUCUCAUGCGUCCCGCUCCCCACGGGAAAGACUCGUCGGGUAUUUGGGCUCGUCCUCAAACACGUUGAGGCAUGCGGUCGCAUCGCAAGGAUGCAGACAAGGAGCACGUUGUCCGCCGUCGCCUUGGGGGGCGUGGUCCAUUGACGCGUCGGGGGCCAAAGGACGUGCCCCCGUUGGAGGCGCCGCCGUUUUCGUUUGUUGACGCGCGCUGUUGGAGGCCGCUUCCAUAGCCCUCCCGAAGCCGUCGUCGCGCACCGAGGGCCAAGGCAACCGUGGACGUAGGCGAUGGUGGGCUGGUGGCGCGGGUGCACAUGCUGCCGGAGCCUAGGCGAGCGCGGCUGCCGGUGUGGCUGGGCAAGCUAGGGUGCGCCGAUGUUAAUGCAUCCAUGCUGCUGCGUGCGCCUCAAAGGCGAGAGCCAAAGUGAGCGGCGUGGAAGCUGAUUUCUCCAGCAAUCAGGCCAUGAUCAGCAAUCUUCGGGAGGAAUUGCAUGUGCCGUCUCUUCCACAUGCUGGUUACCUUCCUCCAGUUCAGUGGCUCUAGACAUGGGUGUGCAUGGCUGAAGUCUACACCAGAUAGUGUUCAUCCUUGCCUUUGAUCACCUGGCCUACUGUAAAAAAGAUAUAAUUGCUUCAUAGUCAUAAUUUGCUUAUAUCUAGAGUUCAUAUAGAGAUUAGUAAGCAGAUAGCGUGUUUUUUGUCAAAUGGUUAUGCAGGUUCGAGCAAGCUCAAAGUAGGCUGGGGAGGAUGAGCAGUGAUUAUACUCAUGCUGGUCCAUAUUUCUUGUGCAGGUUUGAGCAAGCACAUCGCCCACGUAAAAAAAAUGUUCUUGAUGGUGGUCCAUAUUUUUUGUGCAUAAAACAAAUGUACACAUUUUAUCUAGAAGCAAUAUAACUCUGAAAAAAUGGUCAGGCAUCUCUUUAAAGUUCAGACCUAUACUUGUAAUGUUACCUUUUUCCUAUUUGUGAUUUUCCGCGUAGAAUUUUUAUGGACUUUUAGAUCGUGCAAAGUCGGCUGAAAUGCUAUAUCAUCAACACCUUAGCUAUUAUUUUCAUUUAUUAUCAGUAAAAGACGGAGUUGCUGAUGCCAUAUGUCAUUUCUGACAAUAUGAUCGACAUGUGAAGUGUCUAAGAUCCGUCGCAAUGCAUGGGCACGGACAAUGGUGGCAAGAGAUGCACCAUCAAGGGCGGUGGCGGGUGGCCUUAUCAGGCGGGCCAGAGCCACAACCACAACCAAUAAUAUGCUUGAGAAACCGCCAUGAUGUGCUCCAGCACCGAGCAACAAGCCGGUGGUCCAAUGUUGAUAGAGCGAGGACAACAGCGUCAUGAGAACCGAGAGCGCCCACACAACUAUUUUCCUCUAAGAUGGCAGGGGGAGAACCGGGAUGAGAUCUACGAGGUAGCUCAGCCACAACGAAGGCGACUUGAAUUGUGAGCAGAACGACGCCGGUUAUGCAGCCACCGAUCGAGGGUGAAUUAGUGAAAGCAAUACUUGCAUCUAGGAUGGAUAGCAUACUAUGUCUUGUGCUUGUGCCGAUGGAUGGUCUACAAUGACGACAAUCUUUUGAAAUCGUUAUCCUGGAUGGUUCCAUCAAAUAGUAUGGGUGUGAUGUAUCUUUUCAUCUUUGCUUCAUAUUUAAUUAGGUGCAUAUUUCGUGAGAUAAUAUCUGAUUUUGAUAUGUUUUUUUCUAUGGAUUUCAAGAUAGGAGGGCAGCUUCACGGGUGGUUGGGGUCAAACGAGUGAGGUGAAGUUGUUGUGUCUAUUUUUGUGUAGUUUGUUUCAGAGAAGUCGCACUGAUUUCUCUCGAUAUUUGUCUGUUUGUUGAGAAUUA